AGCUCUUACCGUCACGGUCCGCGCUGUUCACGCUCAAGUAAAUUCAGCAUAUAUCUGUGUACCUGAAGUUACGUCGCAGUUGUCGACGUUCGCCUUGAAGUCGCAGAUCUGCCGCGAGACGUCGAAGAGGAGCCCCUGCGAGCACUUGAACUCGAACACCUCGUUGUCUGAAGACACAAUCAUGAGUUACCUAGGCAGAGGAAAUAUUUGGCGCACUCGGCGGCCGACCAGACGCUGUGCGACGGUGCCUUGGGAUUUCGAUAGAACUUAUUGUCGUCUAUGCACGGAACCUCCUCCUCGGAUUUUCCUUUCUCCGCCGCGGUGUUCGCUGCAAAACGAGUCAUCCAAGUCGAGACUUUCGUCGCUUCCAAGCGUACAGUAACGUAUUUAGCAAAUUAACGCGAAUUAAUUAAUGCUCAGACAACACGAUCCUCUCGUAGAUGUCUCGAAGAUGUUUAGAGAAAUGGGCAAUCUUUAUAAGAUAUUUUUAGAUGUUUGGGGUGUCUAGACAUUCUCUUAUGUAACAUUUGAUGACAAAAAGCAUUCUGCCACUUUCAUCAAGGAGGACAAGUUUCAAAUUUUCAAACUGAAAAUGUAGAAGCUUCUAACGCAAGUAAAGUAAAAAACGCAUCAUUUACACUUCGUAGAAGCAAAACGCGUAUUACUGGGAUGGGCGAAGAAGAAAGGAGAGUCUCUCAUUAAGUGAACGUGCUCAGAGAUCGAAACGAUUUCGAUAUCUCACGGCUGCGAGAUUAUUUUACAGGCGCGCGACGAUACUUUCACGAUUCGCCCGGUCGUUCGGAAACGGAUAUCUGUAGCCUGCCGCAUCGAAACCUGAACUGAACCGAACCGAACCGAACCGAAAUCAUAUCGGUUUGCCGACGACACAACGAAGGAAUCCAACUUUGAAGUUUAAUAUCUUACAAGAGCGCAAACGUACCGCAGCCAACCGCUAUAAAAAGUCAUCUGUCACUGAGAAGACUCCGUCGACGUGGAAUUUGACGAACUUAUCGGUCACCAGAGAGAGAAAUAUAUCAAUCGAAAAAUAUAUACUAUACAAUCCAGUGAUAUAUAAUCUAACAUAUUCGACAUAGAACGUCACUACGAGUCGACAACAUCGCCGUUUAGCGACACCGAAUCGAUCCAAAGUCUAGAGAAACGAUGCGCUCUUCAAGAUUCGACUUAAGCUAAGGGAAACAAAGAUAAAUUCGCGCGAUUCGCAGCGAGGGAAGAAGGACGCGCGCAGAGACGCCGAAAAGAGACGAGCACUUUUUUCCAGCCGCGGACUCACCGGAAACGGCGAGUAGCGCGAUCAGUGCGAGACGCAGUCGCGACUUCAUGUUCGGUAUACCUCGCGCGGACGCGCGCGUCUACGCGGCUCUCCUCCACGCGCGACAGCUUGUACUUUCGAACUGACGGCAUACCUGCGAAAACAUGCCUUAUAUGACGAGCAGUGGCCGCGCCGAUCUCCGUGUCGGGCCGGCUAUUCUCACUCGUUUCCGAUCGGGAAGACGUUACCGCGCCUGUUCGAUUCGAUACCGCUCGAUCGCGGAGCUGAUUGCUCGGCUCCGAGCAAGGAGAGCCGCGUCAUUACAGACGUCGACUGGCCCGAUCUGACAAGCCGAGUGAAGCAAUAAAUGUCAAUGUACGUCGAUAAAUCGGCAAUUCACUAUCGGCAAAUUUUUAUCCUACGAAGAAUGCCGUAGCGAGAAGAAAAAAUGAACGCGCGGAGAUCUCGAGCGAGAUCGAAUAAUUGGAACGCGUCGUCGCCAGCGGGAGCUAAUUGUCGUGUAUUUAUAAUUUACCGGGCAAACUUUCGAGCUGACGGAUCGCGCGAGUAUUUGGGAGGCUUUCAAUAGCGAAGCGUUUCGAGCAACAAACGUGAAACUCGAGUAUCGAGUUUAACGGAUUCCUCAUAACGAAGGCUGCGAGAGAUAAUUACCCAUUGCAAGUUAGAGGAGGGAUAUUAAAUGAGGGCUUGGUAUAACGGCGCGUUAACGACGUCGAUUGACUCUCUUCCCUUUGUUUUAUCGAUCAUGCAUCUCCUUAAUUUCAGAUUGAUACCUGGCAGCCGCAGCAAGGCCGAGGAGAGCGGCGCAUCAAAGGCACUCGAUCGCUUAAUCCGGGACGUGCAUCGCCAGCGGAAUCAUUGAACAUUAUUUUUGGACACUCAGUCCCAGCAUGAGAGCGACGUCGUGCCGCGACGUGUAAACAACAAUGGUCCGGUGAUUUGACUGAUGGACAGCGACCAAGAGCGUGAUUUUUCCUGCGGGAACAAGAGCCUCGCUCGUCGCAAUUUGAAUUUCGCCGAGAUCGGAGAACCGAUCUCGAUCGUGUUACGGCGAGAAAGAGAGAGAGAAUAAAUGUGUGAUUUACACUCUCAUUUAAAACCGUAUUAAUAGCCGUUACGUGUAACUCGCCCUAGGUGAGAUACUCACGUUGGAAUUUAGAAGUUUCUGGCUGAUUGUCUCCCUGAAAAAGUAAACUGGAAUGUUCGAACAAAUCCAAGACGGACGCGGCGUACACAAACUCAGAGAUCAAAUCAGAAUUUUCUAUACCGCGGAAGCCUAAAACGUCAUUCCAAUUUAAAAUUAGAUACAAGUUUUUCGGCUGAAUUACGCUUACAAAUGUAACAUCGCACAUGACUGAAAAAACUGAAACCUACCUCUAAAUUCUGAUCUGAGUAUUUCAUACAAGGCGAGCAUCAAAUAACGACUGUUAAUAUGAGUCUUAGGCUGCUAAUUUAACUUUUUUCAAUUCAAUUAAUCGGCGUCAUUGAGCGAUGCAUAAAUUUACAAGUUACACGAAGAAGAAUCAAGUGAAAUCGUGACGACAAGCGACGAUAUGCUCACACAAAUUAAUUGCAAUUCCGUCACACGCGCGCUUACACAAUUAAACGCGGAAUCUUCACGCAAUCCCACCAUAAUUACAGCGGAUUGGGCCGGCCGCUAAAUAACUGUAAGCUCACGCCACAGAAGAUCUAUCACGAUUUCGACUGACGUUUGACUUCGGCUCGCUCCAAUUUUCCGUGCAAGUUAAUCUCGAUAUAUUGUUGCGUGUCGCAACUUUAAGACGACGCACACUUGCCUGAUGAAUCUCGAUAUCGUGAGCGUGCGUCCGCUCUUAACGAGACACGUCUCUUCGUGGAGACGCGGACUCCUCUUCGACUGCAGAGACGAUUUCGCUUUGGCAGAAGUUGCUCAUUGGGUUCUACUACAAGAUCGCGUUAGCAAUCUAAUACUCUGAAAAUUACUCUCUCAAGUGCAAUCAGAAUAUUUUUCUUCACCGAUACACUAUACCUAUAGCUCUUGAUUCAGUUGUAAGUGCAGCAUUACAAUCAGUAAAUCCGCCGUUCCGUAAUCGUUUACUAUAUUGCUCAGCAGACUCGCUUUCACACAGAAAGUUUCAUGACACAGUACCUGUGUAUCGAUAGCUGUGUCUUUCAGACCUCUGAUGUCUCGAUGACUGUUAAAAAAUGACCGUCUGCGCGUCCGUCCGCCGGGGAAUCUACAUUUCCACGGUCUGUCACUGACAGCAUGUCAGUUCUUCGAUUCGUCGAGGACACUCGCAAGUGAACUCUUUGGCUCCGCGACGCGAACGCAUUUCCGCGACAACGAAAAAAAUGCUCGGGAGAAAAAAAGAAAGGAAGAAAAAGAGCGAGUGUGAUCACACGUGUCCCGGUGACAACGAUUCACGUUCGUGUCCACCCUGAGGGCAGACCCUGUGACGAAAAUACAUUUACGCGCAUAGUGAGAAGAUAAAUCGAGGUGGCCGCCAUGAGCGGCGAGAGCCGUUGCUGCUUCGCGAACGUGACCUCCGUUCAAAUUAGAAUAAUUCGCGAAAGAGAACAACGGUGAAGAAGAGCGACGACGGUGCCGCUCGUGCGAGCACAUCUUUCUCUCUCUCUCUCUC